AUUGAACGCUGGCGGCAUGCCUUACACAUGCAAGUCGAACGGCAGCGCGGGCUUCGGCCUGGCGGCGAGUGGCGGACGGGUGAGUAAUGCAUCGGAACGUGCCCAGGAGUGGGGGAUAACGUAGCGAAAGUUACGCUAAUACCGCAUACGUACUGAGGUAGAAAGCGGGGGAUCGAAAGACCUCGCGCUCAUGGAGCGGCCGAUGUCGGAUUAGCUAGUUGGUGAGGUAAAAGCUCACCAAGGCGACGAUCCGUAGCUGGUCUGAGAGGACGACCAGCCACACUGGGACUGAGACACGGCCCAGACUCCUACGGGAGGCAGCAGUGGGGAAUCUUGGACAAUGGGGGAAACCCUGAUCCAGCAAUGCCGCGUGUGGGAUGAAGGCCCUCGGGUUGUAAACCACUUUUGGCAGGAAAGAAAUCGCCUGUGCUAAUACCAUGGGCGGAUGACGGUACCUGCAGAAUAAGCACCGGCUAACUACGUGCCAGCAGCCGCGGUAAUACGUAGGGUGCGAGCGUUAAUCGGAAUUACUGGGCGUAAAGCGUGCGCAGGCGGUUUUGUAAGACAGAUGUGAAAUCCCCGGGCUUAACCUGGGAACUGCAUUUGUGACUGCAAGACUAGAGUGUGUCAGAGGGAGGUGGAAUUCCGCGUGUAGCAGUGAAAUGCGUAGAGAUGC
rnacentral:rRNA from 1 species